rnacentral:rRNA from 1 species
CCUACGGGAGGCAGCAGUGGGGAAUAUUGGGCAAUGGGCGCAAGCCUGACCCAGCAACGCCGCGUGAAGGAAGAAGGCUUUCGGGUUGUAAACUUCUUUUCUGAGGGACGAAGAAAGUGACGGUACCUCAGGAAUAAGCCACGGCUAACUACGUGCCAGCAGCCGCGGUAAUACGUAGGUGGCAAGCGGUAGCCGGAUUUAUUUGGUGUAAAGGGCGUGUAGGCGGGAAAGCAAGUCAGAUGUGAAAACGCAGGGCUCAACCCUGAGACUGCAUUUGAAACUGUUUUUCUUGAGUGCUGGAGAGGCAAUCGGAAUUCCGUGGGUAGCGGUGAAAUGCGUAGAUAUACGGAGGAACACCAGUGGCGAAGGCGGAUUGCUGGACAGUAACUGACGCUGAGGCGCGAAAGCGUGGGGAGCAAACAGGAUUAGAUACCCUUGUAGUC